rnacentral:rRNA from 1 species
GGGGAACGCGAAGAAGCCUUACCUNCCCUUGACAUCCAGAGAAUAUGUCAGAGAGGGAGAGGUUCCUUUCGGAAGUCUGAGACAGGUGGUGCAUGGCUGUCGUCAGAUCGUGUUUUGAGAUGUUGGGUUAAAUCCCGCAACGAGAGCAACCCCUUUCCUUAGUUGCCAACCAGUUAAGUUGGGAACUCUAGGGAGACUGCCGGUGAUAAACCGGAGGAAGGUGGGGAGGAACAACGUCAAGUCAUCAUGGCCUUUAUGGGUAGGGCUACACACGUGCUACAAUGGCCGGUACAGAGGGCAGCCAACCUGGGAAGGUGAGCAAAUCCCAGAAAACCGGUCCUAGUCCGGAUUGCAGUCUGCAACUCGACUGCAUGAAGUCGGAAUCGCUAGUAAUCGCGAAUCAGAAUGUUGCGGAGAAAUCCUUCCCGGGUUUU